UACGUAGGCAGCAAACGUUGUUCGGAGUUACUGGGCGUAAAGAGUACGUAGCGGUUUGCCAAGUUUGGUGUGAAAUCUCCUGGCUUAACUGGGAGGUGCGCCGAAUACUGGCGGGCUUGAGUAUUGGAGAGGAAGCGGAAUUCCUGGAUGUAGCGGUGAAAUGCGUAGAUAUCAGGAAGAACACCCGUGGCGAAAGGCGGUUCUCUGGGACGGUACUGACGCUGAGACGCGAAAGCGUGGGGAGCAACAG
rnacentral:rRNA from 1 species